rnacentral:rRNA from 1 species
UCGCGGCCCCUUAUCAGCUUGUUGGUGGGGUAAUGGCCUACCAAGGCGACGACGGGUAGCCGGCCUGAGAGGGCGACCGGCCACACUGGGACUGAGACACGGCCCAGACUCCUACGGGAGGCAGCAGUGGGGAAUAUUGCACAAUGGGCGAAAGCCUGAUGCAGCGACGCCGCGUGAGGGAUGACGGCCUUCGGGUUGUAAACCUCUUUCAGCAGGGAAGAAGCGCAAGUGACGGUACCUGCAGAAGAAGCGCCGGCUAACUACGUGCCAGCAGCCGCGGUAAUACGUAGGGCGCAAGCGUUGUCCGGAAUUAUUGGGCGUAAAGAGCUCGUAGGCGGCUUGUCACGUCGGAUGUGAAAGCCCGGGGCUUAACCCCGGGUCUGCAUUCGAUACGGGCUAGCUAGAGUGUGGUAGGGGAGAUCGGAAUUCCUGGUGUAGCGGUGAAAUGCGCAGAUAUCAGGAGGAACACCGGUGGCGAAGGCGGAUCUCUGGGCCAUUACUGACGCUGAGGAGCGAAAGCGUGGGGAGCGAACAGGAUUAGAUACCCUGGUAGUCCACGCCGUAAACGUUGGGAACUAGGUGUUGGCGACAUUCCACGUCGUCGGUGCCGCAGCUAACGCAUUAAGUUCCCCGCCUGGGGGAGUACGGAA